rnacentral:rRNA from 1 species
CAAUAGCGUAUAUUAAAGUUGUUGCAGUUAAAAAGCUCGUAGUUGGAUUUGUGGCGUACGGUGUGUUCCGGGCACUUGUUGUCUGAGUAACCUGCUGUUGCCAUCCUUGGGUGGAACCUGUGUGGCAUUAGGUUGUCGUGCAGGGGAUGCCCAUCAUUUACUGUGAAAAAAUUAGAGUGUUCAAAGCAGGCUUAUGCCGUUGAAUAUAUUAGCAUGGAAUAAUGAGAUAGGACUUUUUUGCUAUUUUGUUGGUUUGCGCAAAGAGGUAAUGAUUAAUAGGGACAGUUGGGGGUAUUCGUAUUCCAUUGUCAGAUGUGAAAUUCUUGGAUUUUUGGAAGACGAACUACUGCGAAAGCAUUUACCAAGGAUGUUUUCAUUAA